GCAGUCGAGCGGGCGUAGCAAUACGUCAGCGGCAGACGGGUGAGUAACGCGUGGGAACAUACCUUUUGGUUCGGAACAACACAGGGAAACUUGUGCUAAUACCGGAUAAGCCCUUACGGGGAAAGAUUUAUCGCCGAAAGAUUGGCCCGCGUCUGAUUAGCUAGUUGGUGAGGUAACGGCUCACCAAGGCGACGAUCAGUAGCUGGUCUGAGAGGAUGAUCAGCCACAUUGGGACUGAGACACGGCCCAAACUCCUACGGGAGGCAGCAGUGGGGAAUAUU
rnacentral:rRNA from 1 species